AUUGAACGCUGGCGGAAUGCUUAACACAUGCAAGUCGAGCGGGCUGUAGCAAUACAGCUAGCGGCGGACGGGUGAGGAAUACAUAGGAAUCUGCCUCAGAGUGGGGGAUAGCCCGGGGAAACCCGGAUUAAUACCGCAUGAUGUCGUAAGACCAAAGCAGGGGACCGUAAGGCCUUGCGCUUUGAGAUGAGCCUAUGUCGGAUUAGCUAGUUGGCGGGGUAAAAGCCCACCAAGGCGACGAUCCGUAGCUGGUCUGAGAGGACGAUCAGCCACACCGGAACUGAGACACGGGUCCGGACUCCUACGGGAGGCAGCAGUGGGGAAUAUUGGACAAUGGGC
rnacentral:rRNA from 1 species